GAAGAAAAGAGAAGACUAGAGUGAAGGCAGACUAAAGAGGACUGAAGAUUGGGAGAAGAUCUGAGUGAAGAGGAGAGUGGAGUGAAGAACUCAAGAAAGAAGACCAGACGAAGCAGAAGGGAAAAAGAAUACCUACAGGAGAUCACAGGUGGGAAGUGAGCUGCUGAGGUUAGCUCCAGCUUGAACUGAUGACAUUUUAGAGGA